UGCAAAUUGAGGAGUCGGUUUGUGCAAGUUAAGGAGUCGAUUAAGCGUGCCCGGGAAGGCGUUUUGUUUGUUUGCGUGGCCAAUAUCGGGGUAUGGAGU
rnacentral:sRNA from 1 species